CCUACGGGUGGCUGCAGUAAGGAAUAUUGGUCAAUGGACGCAAGUCUGAACCAGCCAUGCCGCGUGGAGGAUGAAGGUCCUCUGGAUUGUAAACUUCUUUUAUUUGGGAAGAAACUCCCGAUUUCUAUCGGGAUUGACGGUACCAGAUGAAUAAGCACCGGCUAACUCCGUGCCAGCAGCCGCGGUAAUACGGAGGGUGCAAGCGUCAUCCGGUUUCACUGGUGCGAAGGGGUGCAGGGAAGGGCGGGGAGAAAUCUCCGGGCUUAACCCGGAAACUGCCAUUGAUACUAUUUGUCUUGAAUACUCUGGAGGUGAGCGGAAUAUGUCAUGUAGCGGUGAAAUGCUUAGAUAUGACAUAGAACACCCAUUGCGAAGGCAGCUCACUACGGAAAUAUUGACGCUGAGGCACGAAAGCGUGGGGAUCAACCAGGAUUAGAUACCCUUGUAGUG
rnacentral:rRNA from 1 species